rnacentral:rRNA from 1 species
AAUGAACGCUGGCGGCGCGCCUAAUACAUGCAAGUCGAGCGAGAAGACGUAGCAAUACGUUUGUAAAGCGGCGAACGGGUGAGGAAUACAUGGGUAACCUACCCUCGAGUGGGGAAUAACUAGCCGAAAGGUUAGCUAAUACCGCGUACGCUUCUUGGACUUCGGUUCAGGGAGGAAAGCGAUGCCGAGGGUAUCGCGCUCUUGGAUGGGCUCAUGUCCUAUCAGCUUGUUGGNGAGGUAACGGCUCACCAAGGCUUCGACGGGUAGCUGGUCUGAGAGGACGAUCAGCCACACUGGCACUGCGACACGGGCCAGACUCCUACGGGAGGCAGCAGUAAGGAAUAUUGCGCAAUGGGCGAAAGCCUGACGCAGCGACGCCGCGGUGGGGGA